CUUCAGAAGACUAUAGUAGGACUAAGUUUCCACCCUCUUAGUACCUCACAUUUCCACAAGCCAUAUCCAGACAUUUCUAUCAUGUAGUGUUGCUCCCUUCUCUAGGAAUGUCCUCCUGGAAAAUCCACUCUGACCUCCCAAAUGGCCCUCAAGUGAUAUUUGUACUAACAUGCCCCAGCUCAAGGGUGAGAUGGUAUCACUGAAAUCUGUACAUUCCUCUAGCAGAGUGCCUAGCCCAGAGUUAGCUCCCAGGAUGUGGUCCCGAAUGCUUCCAGAGAGGGGCAGCUGUAUCCAUUCUGUUUAUAUUUUGAAAAAGAAAAUUGAUUUGCACUACAGUGGUCAGAUCAGAAAUGUUUGAAAAUUAUACAUCCUUGUAUGUAGAACAAACGGUCAUUCUUUCCAUUUCUAACUCUCAUUCCUUAUUCUCUACCAUAUGACCAAUGGUCUGUAUGUCCUUCUGUAUAUACAUAAGCAUGUGUGUGAGAUAUUUGAAUAUAGAAAGUUUCCAAGACCAAACCCGACUCUAUAGUGAAGAAUUACCUGGGAAGUGUAAAGUCACG
rnacentral:lncRNA from 1 species